rnacentral:rRNA from 1 species
UACGUAGGAGGCGAGCGUUGUCCGGAAUCAUUGGGCGUAAAGAGCGCGCAGGCGGCUUGGCAAGUCGGGUGUGAAAAUCCCGGGGGCUCAACCCCGGGACGUGCAUUCGAUACUGUCAAGCUAGAGGUAGGUAGGGGAGAUCGGAAUUCCUGGUGUAGCGGUGAAAUGCGCAGACAUCAGGAGGAACACCGGUGGCGAAGGCGGAUCUCUGGGCCUUACCUGACGCUCAGGCGCGAAAGCUAGGGGAGCGAACAGGAUUAG